rnacentral:misc_RNA from 1 species
GAAGAAGAACGUAGCGAAAUGCGAUAAGUAGUGUGAAUUGCAGAAUUCAGUGAAUCAUCGAAUCUUUGAACGCACAUUGCGCCCUUUGGUAUUCCAAAGGGCAUGCCUGUUCGAGCGUCAUUUGUACCCUCAAGCUUUGCUUGGUGUUGGGCGUCUUGUCUCUAGCUUUGCUGGAGACUCGCCUUAAAGUAAUUGGCAGCCGGCCUACUGGUUUCGGAGCGCAGCACAAGUCGCACUCUCUAUCAGCAAAGGUCUAGCAUCCAUUAAGCCUUUUUUUCAACUUUUGACCUCGGAUCAGGUAGGGAUACCCGCUGAACUUAAGCAUAUCAAUAAGCGGAGGA